rnacentral:rRNA from 1 species
AACGAACGCUGGCGGCAGGCUUAACACAUGCAAGUCGAACGCCCCGCAAGGGGAGUGGCAGACGGGUGAGUAACGCGUGGGAACAUACCCUUUCCUGCGGAAUAGCUCUGGGAAACUGGAAUUAAUACCGCAUACGCCCUACGGGGGAAAGAUUUAUCGGGGAAGGAUUGGCCCGCGUUGGAUUAGCUAGUUGGUGGGGUAAAGGCCUACCAAGGCGACGAUCCAUAGCUGGUCUGAGAGGAUGAUCAGCCACAUUGGGACUGAGACACGGCCCAAACUCCUACGGGAGGCAGCAGUGGGGAAUAUUGGACAAUGGGCGCAAGCCUGAUCCAGCCAUGCCGCGUGAGUGAUGAAGGCCUUAGGGUUGUAAAGCUCUUUCACCGAUGAAGAUAAUGACGGUAGUCGGAGAAGAAGGAUCGGCUAACUCCGUGCCAGCAGCCGCCGUAACAC